rnacentral:rRNA from 1 species
AGUGAACGUUGGCGGCGUGGAUUAGGCAUGCAAGUCGAGCGAGAACCGUAGCAAUACGGGGACAGCGGCGAAAGGGACAGUAAUGUGUAGGUACCUACCCCGAGGUCUGGGAUAGCUGCGGGAAACUGCAGGUAAUACCGGAUAAUGUCUUCGGACCAAAGGUGUGAUUCCACCUUGGGAGGGGCCUGCAUCCUAUUAGCUUGUUGGCGGGGUAACGGCCCACCAAGGCGACGAUGGGUAGCGGGUGUGAGAGCACGACCCGCGUCAUUGGGACUGAGAUACUGCCCAGACACCUACGGGUGGCUGCAGUCGAGGAUCUUCGGCAAUGGGCGAAAGCCUGACCGAGCGACGCCGCGUGCGGGAUGAAGGCCUUCGGGUUGUAAACCGCUGUCGUAGAGGAGGAAAUGCAGGGGGGUUCUCCCUUCUGUUUGACCUAUUCUAGGAGGAAGGACGGGCUAAGUUCGUGCCAGCAGCCGCCGUAA